GACGAACGCUGGCGGCGUGCUUAACACAUGCAAGUCGAACGGAAAGGCCCUUCUUUUGUGGGGUGCUCGAGUGGCGAACGGGUGAGUAACACGUGAGUAACCUGCCCUUGACUUUGGGAUAACUUCAGGAAACUGGGGCUAAUACCGGAUAGGAGCUCCUGCUGCAUGGUGGGGGUUGGAAAGUUUCGGCGGUUGGGGAUGGACUCGCGGCUUAUCAGCUUGUUGGUGGGGUAGUGGCUUACCAAGGCUUUGACGGGUAGCCGGCCUGAGAGGGUGACCGGCAAAAUUGGGACUGAGUUACGGCCCAGACUCCUACGGGAGGCAGAAGGGGGGAAUAUUGCACAAUGGGCGGAAGCCUGAUGCAGCAACGCCGCGUGCGGGAUGACGGCCUUCGGGUUGUAAACCGCUUUCGCCUGUGACGAAGCGUGAGUGACGGUAAUGGGUAAAGAAGCACCGGCUAACUACGUG
rnacentral:rRNA from 1 species